UACGGAGGGUGCGAGCGUUAUCCGGAUUCACUGGGUUUAAAGGGUGCGUAGGUGGGCAGGUAAGUCAGUGGUGAAAUCUCCGGGCUUAACCCGGAAACUGCCAUUGAUACUAUCAGUCUUGAAUACCGUGGAGGUAAGCGGAAUAUGUCAUGUAGCGGUGAAAUGCUUAGAUAUGACAUAGAACACCAAUUGCGAAGGCAGCUUACUACCCGAAUAUUGACACUGAGGCACGAAAGCGUGGGGAUCAAACAGGA
rnacentral:rRNA from 1 species